AAAAAAAGCCCGUUGCGUUGAAGUUCUAAGAGUUUAAAACUCUUAGAACACUUUGUAUUUCAGGGCGUUUUUUUUUCAAUACCCUGUUGUAUUUUGAGUUAAGAGGAUCUAGAGCUGGAUUAUGAACAGUUCUUCCCGGCGGGUUCAUUUAGGGGCAGCAACCAUGUGCCGUGGACCCAGCCGUCUUUCUGUAGCAACUGUGAUAAUGUAGCCUUUGUGUUGCCCAUUCACUUUUGGAAACUAGUGAAUGUGGUGUCAAAAAAGGCGCAAACUACACACUUUGCAGCCCUUUUCCUGCCCUUGAACUUGAUGUCUUUGGUGGAAGAGCUGUGGGAAAGAUGGACAUUUGAAGCAUAGACUGCUGCAACCUGAAUACCCGGGAGCACAAGUGACCCAAGGAUGCCCUUCGUGAAGAAUUUGAAAACUUAAUUUUCACAGGAGUUGCCCAGAUCACUUAAAAUUUUAAAGAGUGUUGAGGAAGAUCAGAACUGUCUUUGGACAGUUCAUAAAUACUCAUUUAACACAAUGGGCCUGUGAAUAAAUAUUUAA